GAUGAACGCUAGCUACAGGCUUAACACAUGCAAGUCGAGGGGAAACGAUAUUGGAAGCUUGCUUCCGAUAGGCGUCGACCGGCGCACGGGUGAGUAACGCGUAUCCAACCUGCCCACCACUUGGGAAUAACCUUGCGAAAGUAAGACUAAUACCCAAUGAUAUCUCUAGAAGACAUCUGAAGGAGAUUAAAGAUUUAUCGGUGAUGGAUGGGGAUGCGUCUGAUUAGCUUGUUGGCGGGGUAACGGCCCACCAAGGCGACGAUCAGUAGGGGUUCUGAGAGGAAGGUCCCCCACAUUGGAACUGAGACACGGUCCAAACUCCUACGGGAGGCAGCAGUGAGGAAUAUUGGUCAAUGGGCGAGAGCCUGAACCAGCCAAGUAGCGUGCAGGAUGACGGCCCUAUGGGUUGUAAACUGCUUUUAUAAGGGAAUAAAGUGAGUCUCGUGAGACUUUUUGCAUGCACCUUAUGAAUAAGGACCGGCUAAUUCCGUGCCAGCCGCCGCCGUAA
rnacentral:rRNA from 1 species